rfam:Schistosoma rodhaini strain Burundi genome assembly, scaffold: SROB_scaffold0001720
ACACUGCUGAGGAGUCCCAUAAUAAAACGAAACGGUCGUCCAGUGC